rnacentral:rRNA from 1 species
GGCUCAGAUUGAACGCUGGCGGCAGGCCUAACACAUGCAAGUCGAGCGGUAGAGAGGUGCUUGCAUCUCUUGAGAGCGGCGGACGGGUGAGUAAUGCCUAGGAAUCUGCCUAGUGGUGGGGGAUAACGUUCGGAAACGGACGCUAAUACCGCAUACGUCCUACGGGAGAAANCGGGGGAUCUUCGGACCUCGCGCCAUUAGAUGAGCCUAGGUCGGAUUAGCUAGUUGGUGAGGUAAUGGCUCACCAAGGCGACGAUCCGUAACUGGUCUGAGAGGAUGAUCAGUCACACUGGAACUGAGACACGGUCCAGACUCCUACGGGAGGCAGCAGUGGGGAAUAUUGGACAAUGGGCGAAAGCCUGAUCCAGCCAUGCCGCGUGUGUGAAGAAGGUCUUCGGAUUGUAAAGCACUUUAAGUUGGGAGGAAGGGUAGUAACCUAAUACGUUGCUACUUUGACGUUACCGACAGAAUAAGCACCGGCUAACUUCGUG